GAUGAACGCUGGCGGCGUGCCUAAUACAUGCAAGUCGAGCGCACGGACGAGAAACUUGCUUCUCUGAUGUUAGCGGCGGACGGGUGAGUAACACGUGGAUACCCUACCUAUAAGACUGGGAUAACUUCGGGAAACCGGAGCUAAUACCGGAUAAUCUUUUGAACCGCAUGGUUCAACAGUGACAGACGGUCUUGCUGUCACUUAUAGAUGGAUCCGCGCGGCAUUAGCUAGUUGGUAAUGUAACGGCUUCCAAGGCAGCGAUGGAUAGCCGACCAGAGAGGAGGAUCGCCCACGCUAGAACAGAGGCACGGUCCCGACUCCUACGGGAAGCAGCAGACGGGAAUCUGACGCAAUGGGCGAAAGCCUGGCGCAGCAACGCCGCGCAGGUGAUAGACAUCCACGGAGCGUAAAGCUCUGUUAUUAGAGAAAAACAUCUGUGUAAGAAACUGUUGACGUCUUGACGGUACCUAAUCAGAAAGAGACGGCUAACUGCGUG
rnacentral:rRNA from 1 species